CACGUAGGGCGCAAGCGUUGUCCGGAAUUAUUGGGCGUAAAGAGCUCGUAGGCGGUCUGUUGCGUCUGCUGUGAAAACUCGGGGCUUAACCCCGAGCCUGCAGUGGAUACGGGCAGACUAGAGGUAGGUAGGGGAGAAUGGAAUUCCCGGUGUAGCGGUGAAAUGCGUAGAUAUCUGGAGGAAUACCGGUGGCGAAGGCGGCAUCCUGGACCGGCAUUGACGCUGAGGAGCGAAAGCUAGGGGAGCAAACGGG
rnacentral:rRNA from 1 species